ACACCACAGUGAUAGCUCCGUGAGCAAGAAGGUUGCAAGUUUUCUUUCAAAUGUUGGAUUCAUCAAAAAUUAGCAUUGACUCUUGGAAUCUAUGAAGGAGUAAUGAGCAUGAGGAAAAGACUCCUCAACUACUCAAACGGCCACUUACCCCCGAAACAAAAACAAAAACAAAAAAACCACUCAAACGGCCAAAUCUCAUUAUUUUUCUCAAUUUUGACCAAAUUAAUGCAUAUUUUAAAUACUUCCAUAGGUAUGAUUUGCAACACGUCUCAAGACUUUCUUUAAAUAUUAACACUCUAAAAUAGUUGUCCAAUACUUUUAUUUAGUGCUAAUGGGUUCAUAGCUUAUUGGUAAGAAUAGUUUCGUAUUCGAAACCCCAGCGAGACAGACAUAGACAGAGUCACACACUGAAUAUGCAAACUAAUUCUGAUGUCUGCAACUGUGGAUUUCAUGUAAAAUACAAAACCAACGCCAACUGCUACGAGAAGCCGCAUCUCUAAUAUUCGAUUAUGCAUUAUAACCAAUUAAAAAGUCCCCAAAUCAAACAAGCAACUCUCUAAAGUCUAAAGUCAAAGUGUCUGAAUUCAUGAACAUGCCAAGUUGCCAACGGAGCCCUCAUUAGCUUCAUAUGAGCGUCAUCACCAAAUGAGCCUUUUUUUUUAUGGAGUUGGCAUCAACUUCUUCUUCUUCUCUUUUUCAGAGAAAUGCAUGCACAUGUGUAAGUUGGUUCCUAAUGGACCCAAACGAAUUCAGCUUUUGUUCCCUAUAGCCUUCGAUGGAUGCACCCAAGUAUUUGCCUCAAAACACUUCACCAAAAAUAUUGUAAAAUCCAUGGGACCUCCAAUAAUGCAGGUUUCCUUAUGGGACCCAUGAAAUUGUUAGACACACAUACAUACUCUUCAUUAAUAGCCACCUUCUUCUGCCUCUUAAUCAUCAAUAAGUCAAAACGAAAGUUUACUUAUCACUCUAUUGCAAACAAAAAAAGGUUGUCUCAAUCAGCAAUGUUUUCUUCUUUCUCCCAAUUGCCUCUCUUUUCCAAUGUUAGGUACAUGAACAAGUAGCUUUCUAUCUCCUUGAGGCCACAUAUAAAGAUUGAUAUCCAUUUUAAACAAGUCGAGUUUGUUUCGUUUCCGUUUGGUUUAUGGUUUAUAUAGAAAUGCUUCAUUCAACUUUUUAAACGACAUGAUAUUUUUGAUAUCCUUAUCAAAAAAGAGUCGCGACAGAAAAAAAAAAAAGAAAAAAGAAGAAGAAAAUAUGUGAUAGGAAAUGCAUAUAUAUGUAGACAUUGAGGGAAAUUGGAAAAGAC
rnacentral:lncRNA from 1 species